rnacentral:rRNA from 1 species
GGACCCGCACAAGCGGUGGAUGAUGUGGAUUAAUUCGAUGCAACGCGAAAAACCUUACCUACCCUUGACAUGCCAGGAACUUGCCAGAGAUGGCUUGGUGCCCGAAAGGGAACCUGGACACAGGUGCUGCAUGGCUGUCGUCAGCUCGUGUCGUGAGAUGUUGGGUUAAGUCCCGCAACGAGCGCAACCCUUGUCAUUAGUUGCCAUCAUUUAGUUGGGCACUCUAAUGAGACUGCCGGUGACAAACCGGAGGAAGGUGGGGAUGACGUCAAGUCCUCAUGGCCCUUAUGGGUAGGGCUUCACACGUCAUACAAUGGUCGGUACAGAGGGUUGCCAAGCCGCGAGGUGGAGCCAAUCCCAGAAAGCCGAUCGUAGUCCGGAUCGUAGUCUGCAACUCGACUACGUGAAGUCGGAAUCGCUAGUAAUCGCGGAUCAGCAUGUCGCGGUGAAUACGUUCCCGGGUCUU